rnacentral:rRNA from 1 species
AUUGAACGCUAGCGGCAGGCUUAACACAUGCAAGUCGAGGGGUAUAGGAAGCUUGCUUCCUAGAGACCGGCGCACGGGUGCGUAACGCGUAUGCAACCUACCUUUUACAGAGGGAUAGCCCAGAGAAAUUUGGAUUAAUACCUCAUAGUAUAUGUUUUUCGCAUGUUAGACAUAUUAAAGUUCCAACGGUAAAAGAUGGGCAUGCGUCCUAUUAGCUAGAUGGUAAGGUAACGGCUUACCAUGGCAACGAUAGGUAGGGGUCCUGAGAGGGAGAUCCCCCACACUGGUACUGAGACACGGACCAGACUCCUACGGGAGGCAGCAGUGAGGAAUAUUGGACAAUGGGCGCAAGCCUGAUCCAGCCAUGCCGCGUGCAGGAAGAAGCAUCUAUGGUGUGUAAACUGCUUUUGUACGGGAAGAAACACUCCUACGUGUAGGAGCUUGACGGUACCGUAAGAAUAAGGAUCGGCUAACUCCGUGCCAGCAGCCGCGGUAAGAC